AGCCUGAACGCUGGCGGCGUGGCUAAGACAUGCAAGUCUAGGGGGUGUAGCAAUACAUCACCGGCGGACGGGUGCGUAACACGUGGGAAUAUACCUUUUGGUUCGGAACAACGCAGGGAAACUUGCGCUAAUACCGAAUGUGCCCUUACGGGGAAAGAUUUAUCGCCAAAGGAUUAGCCCGCGUCCGAUUAGCUAGUUGGUGAGGUAAUGGCUCACCAAGGCUCCGAUCGGUAGCUGUUCUGAGAGGAAGAUCAGCCACACUGGGACUGAGACACGGCCCAGACUCCUACGGGAGGCAGCAGUUGGGAAUCUUGGACAAUGGGGGAAACCCUGAUCCAGCCAUGCCGCGUGAGUGAUGAAGGCCUUCGGGUUGUAAAACUCUUUCGACGGGGACGAUAAUGACGGUACCGUAGAAGAAGCUCCGGCUAACUUCGCGCCAGCAGCCGC
rnacentral:rRNA from 1 species